rnacentral:rRNA from 1 species
AUUUCGCAUGGAUGAUGAAGGUCCUUGGAUUGUAAAAUCCUUUCGGCGGUCAAGAAUAAGCUAAUGAGGAAAUGCAUUAGCGAUGACGAUAGCCGCAGAAGAAGUCCUGGCUAACUACGUGCCAGCAGCCGCGGUAAUACGUAGGGGAUGAACGAUGUUCGAAAUCACUGGGCGUAAAGGGUGUGUAGGCGGCUUAGAAAGUUAAAUGUGAAAUCUGGGAGCUUAACUCCAAGACUGCAUUUAAAACUCCUAAGCUAGAGUCAUAUAUAGAGGUAGUAGGAAUUCCUGGUGUAGGAGUGAAAUCUGUAGAUAUCAGGAGGAACACCAAAGGCGAAGGCAAGCUACUGGGUAAUGACUGACGCUGAGACACGAAAGCUAGGGUAGCA